ACGUAGGGUGCGAGCGUUGUCCGGAAUUACUGGGCGUAAAGGGCUCGUAGGUGGUUUGUCGCGUCGUCUGUGAAAUUCCGGGGCUUAACUCCGGGCGUGCAGGCGAUACGGGCAUAACUUGAGUACUGUAGGGGUAACUGGAAUUCCUGGUGUAGCGGUGAAAUGCGCAGAUAUCAGGAGGAACACCGAUGGCGAAGGCAGGUUACUGGGCAGUUACUGACGCUGAGGAGCGAAAGCAUGGGUAGCGAACAGGAUUAGAUACCCUGGUAGUCAAGGGCG
rnacentral:rRNA from 1 species